rnacentral:lncRNA from 1 species
ACAACACUGAGUUCUGGAGAUUUAUUUUGAAAACUUGCAACACAUGAUGAGUUCCUAGCAUGACAAAAUUCCUAUCACAGUUAUACUUGCUACAACAUAUUUUGCUACUUAUAUUCACAUUGAGUUUGAUCGAGAUGUGUAGACCCUUAGGAGCUUUUCAUGUGGUUAAAUUAAGAUAUUGACUUGCACACAUUUACUACACCAUCCAUCACCAUCAUUAAAAUUGCUAAAAAUAUUAUCACUCACUGUCCCAAGUAUUGUUAUUCUCUCUCUAAAAAGAUUUAAUGCAGAAGAGGCAUGGGUUAUGCAAAAAUAUGCGAGGAAAUAAAAAGGGGCAAGUGCCCGGAACCUUGGAAAAGAAAAAAAAAGAGUGAGACGAGAGGUAAAAAUGGACAAGUGUCCGGAAUAGAAUUAGGGGUACAAAGAUGCCCACUUGAGCGGAAAAAAAUGGACAACUGUCCGACAGUAGAAUUAGGGGUAUCUACUACCAACCUAAAAAAAAUAGCCCAUGUUCUCCCAAAGCAAAGAUCAAAAAGGAGAGAUAGCAAUAUGAGGAGCAAUGAGAAGUAAGUUUUAUUAUCACUUAUACAUUUUUACCAUCACUAUCAUUUACUCCACCACACAUGCACAUCUUGAUUUAAUUAUAUGUUGAGUUCCUUUGGAUCCAUGGCUCGAUUAGACAACAUACGUAUGAGCUGUUUUUCACUCCUAUGAGCUCCACUUAAAUAUUCCAUUAGCUAUAGGUAAGUGACAUUUUGGUAAGGAUCCACAAAUACCACAUAUAGAAAGACU